GUCAGGUAUAGCGACCGUCACCCUGGUUAUCUUCAUUUGACACUUAGUAGAGUUAUUAAUAAAUGGUUCAGUUAGACGAUCAUUAUUGAUGUUUGAAUGUUUUGAUGGGUUGAUUUUCCUAUUAUGCAUGAGAGUAUGGAUUUGUGGAUUUGGUUUUAUAGUUCUCGGAUUUGUAUUUGUGGAUUUACAUAUCGUGGUUUCCUACCCCUCGAGGUAGUCGGUUUUCAAAACAGAGUUUCCGUGUGGGAAACAGUUUUAAAAGGUUUUCGAAUGGUUUUAAUGAAUGAAUGAAUUAGAGUUUAAAAAUAAAAGCUUCCGUGUGGGGAGCACUUUUAAAUAGGAUGAUUGUUGUAUUGUGCAUUGCAUCAUCCAGCGCCUAAGGAGUGCUUAGAGGCAUGCAUCAUCUCUAAGGAUUGUUAGCUGUAUGGAAAUGCAUAUCACGAUUUGAUUGUUGAUUGGUAAAUGUAGGUUGUGGUUGUGAUCCUGUUGUAUUGUUGGUACGCCGUGCAAAUACAAAGGAGACUCUGUCCAAGUGGACAGAGGAACUUUGUAUUUGUGGCGGGUCUGUACGUCACGUG
rnacentral:lncRNA from 1 species